UACGUAGGGUGCGAGCGUUAAUCGGAAUUACUGGGCGUAAAGCGUGCGCAGGCGGUUUUGUAAGCCAGAUGUGAAAUCCCCGGGCUUAACCUGGGAAUGGCAUUUGGGACUGCAAGGCUGGAGUGCGGCAGAGGAGACUGGAAUUCCUGGUGUAGCAGUGAAAUGCGUAGAUAUCGAGAGGAACACCAGAGGUGAAGACGGGUUGCUGGGCCGACACUGACGCUGACAGCGCGAAAGCCAGGGGAGCAAACGGG
rnacentral:rRNA from 1 species